rnacentral:misc_RNA from 1 species
UCUCCGUAGGUGAACCUGCGGAGGGAUCAUUACAGAGUUCAUGCCCUUCUGGGUAGAUCUCCCACCCUGUGUUAUUAUUACUUUGUUGCUUUGGCGGGCCGUUAGGCUUCGGCCAGGCUACCGGCUCCGGCUGGUCAGCGACCGCCAGAGGACCUAAAACCCUGAAUGUUAGUGUCGUCUGAGUAAUAUAUAAUAGUUAAAACUUUCAACAACGGAUCUCUUGGUUCUG